UUGUUAUUGGCGUUAUGUCACUCCAGUCCAGCUGUGAUCAAACAAACACCUUUAUGGCGUUCGAGUAGUCGAUUGGACGACAUGUCUUGACAAAUAGUUAAAUUGUUUCGGAUAUCUAGAUGGAUAUUUAAUUCGAUGACACACAAUAAAGCACCACCUUCCACAUGCAGUGACCCGAUGAAUCGUUGUUCGGCAAUUUGUGCUCGUUAGUGUCCAGAUGUUUCCCUGUACACUCGCAGAUUCUGUACACUUGCAGAUGUCCACAACAGUGUCAGGUGAGACGAGACAGAUUUGGUCAGAAUGUCGAAACUGACAAGUGCAAGGCUAUGGGGUAAUAUUUCUGAUGUAGCCGCAAACUGUUCAACAGACACUUCGGGAAAAUUCCAUAAAUGGCUCAAGGAACAGCAAAGUUUGCCAUAAAUGAACUAACAAGUAUCUGUGUAUUUCGUUUCUGAAAUAGAAAUAAAGUUCAAUGAUUGCUUAAUGUU